GUCCAUGAGUGGCCGCGACACGCGCUAGUGGCCGGUUCCUCAAGGUUGGGCUCACUCUAAGGAUUUUCUCUGCUCACUCGGCUGUGCUUCUCCCUGGGGAGCUCUGCCUUAAGGGGAUUGGAGUUUGCAAAUGGAAGGAUUUAAACCCCAACGCUGGAUCCUGGUUCUCCAAAUGAACCGGCUGAUAGCACGAGAGACGUGACAGGUCCUCUUUGGCACCCCCUGUGUCCUCCACCUCUGUUUGCUGUCCCUUUCUGCUCCCGGUCUCCACCCCUGCAGACCCCACUGAACAGUUUCAUCUCAAGGAACCUCUGGCCCGAAAAUGAAGACUUUAGACAAGGUGCCCCGUGUGCCCUUCAAAGGAACACUCCAGGAGUCUUCUGGGGUCGGGCCUCCCCUCUCUGGCAGCCCGUCCACAGACAGAUGGGGGAAGAGGGAGGCAAAAGACAACUAAGCUGACAAAGAGGUGCAAACCCUGGAACGGAACGCAGAUGCAAGUAAUGUAUUUGCAGCGGAUCCCAGGAGACACUGCAGGGGAGGGGAAAGGGGGCCAGGAAAGGGAGCAUUAUAGAGCCACUCCUGCAGAAGGUAAGUGGCACCCAGGCCCCCUGGGGAACCCAGGGAGCCCCUCAGAGUCACCCCAACUGUGGGGCCAGAGGGUUGAGGAAACCGGGCACGUAUCAUCACAUCUCUGCCUUCCCCGCCACUGGCUGAGGGCCGCUUCUCUCUGGCUUUUGUCCCUGGAUAUCAUCCCUAGGAGAUUCUUCUCCACCAGCGCACAGGGCUGGGCAUUUAGGCAGCGGCCGUGGCCCUAGAUGUAGUGGGAACAGACAGGAGUGUCCGUAAGGUGCACACCACGGUCUUCUAACCUUGACUUUGCCUCGGCCUCUGUUUCCUUAAUGGUGCGCCCCCUGCAGCGUCAACCCCCGAUCUGGCUUGCUGACCCUCCUCCUUCAUGUCCCAUGCUGCCUUUCUGGGUCUCAUCCACGACAUCUGAUGCUGACGCAGCCGUUCCCACGUCUCCUUUCCUGUCUCAACCUCAACAUCCCGAAAUCUUAUGUUCUGUUUGACCGGGACGCGGUAAGGCCAGGCUCCUUGCCUGCGUGGAGCCUGCGUGUCAUUGAGGUACACCUUUCAGGGUCCAGUGCUACACCUGUAGGUGAAUUUCCGGGGGAGGGGAGGGGCUGGCGGUGCUCUCUCUGCCACCCAGUCCCGGGCCACGCUGUCUGCCUACUUGGCAGAAGAGAUUGCUUCCGACCCCGGGCCCCUCUGGGGACACCAAAGACAGAUUGACGGGCGUCUCACAGAUGGACACGAGGGCCUUUGGGGGACACUGGUGGCCCCUAGGCAGUAGCCUACCCUUGCCCCCUCCACACCACUGCCUUUUAUC